rnacentral:lncRNA from 1 species
UGGUUUUAUUUUCACGAUUACUUAAAAAGACAAAUUUAAUUGAAUGUAAUAACUUCUUUUAUCACAAAGAAUAAGUAAUAUCAAAAUUAAAAUGAUGUUUUUUUGUUACAAUUAAAAUGAUGGUUUUGUUGUUUUAAUAAUUUUAGUGAUAUUUUCCUUGAAAAAAUAAGCAAUAUUGUUGUAGGGUAGUAAGUAAAAAUAUGGUAUUAUGAAUAAUAACAUAUAUAGUGGAAAUGCACUCAAAAAUAUAUACUUACAUAAAUUGUCACUUUUCAUAGACUUCUUGAGCAUCAAAGAUGCAACAAUGACAAAAAUAGAGGUCUCUCUUUUAUUCUCUUAUCCUAAUUCACAUGAAAAAAUUGUCAAANNNNNNNNNNNNNNNNNNNAUAUAUAGAAACUAAUAAAUUGUGAAAAAGAUGAAGAACCUAUUGAAGAGCAUCUAUCCAAAAGUUGGUUGGAGAAAAAUGAUGAUGAAAACUCAAAUUUGCAUUACAAACAUUUAGCAUUUAUGCACAAAAUCAUAUAUUUAUACACACAAUGGUUAGGAACGGGAAAAGAUGAAGGUUCAAAGGAUUGAAUGAUAAAUUUAUUUGUCAUAGUUAAGGAAUAAGAGUUAAUGAAUAUGAAAGAAUGGUAGUUUAAAAGUUGGUAUGACAAAGUUAUUUUUUU